rnacentral:rRNA from 1 species
AACGAACGCUGGCGGCAUGCCUAACACAUGCAAGUCGAACGAAGGCUUCGGCCUUAGUGGCGCACGGGUCCGUAACGCGUGGGAAUCUGCCCUUUGGUUCGGAAUAACAGCUGGAAACGGCUGCUAAUACCGGAUGAUGACGAAAGUCCAAAGAUUUAUCGCCAGAGGAUGAGCCCGCGUUGGAUUAGGUAGUUGGUGGGGUAAAGGCCUACCAAGCCGACGAUCCAUAGCUGGUCUGAGAGGAUGAUCAGCCACACUGGGACUGAGACACGGCCCAGACUCCUACGGGAGGCAGCAGUGGGGAAUAUUGGACAAUGGGCGCAAGCCUGAUCCAGCAAUGCCGCGUGAGUGAUGAAGGCCCUAGGGUUGUAAAGCUCUUUUACCCGGGAAGAUAAUGACUGUACCGGGAGAAUAAGCCCCGGCUAACUCCGUG